CAGUAGCCACGGUAAUACGUAGGGUGCGAGCGUUGUCCGGAAUUACUGGGCGUAAAGCGUGCGUAGGUGGUGGUUUAAGUCCUUUGUGAAAGCCCUGGGCUCAACCUGGGAAUUGCAGUGGAUACUGGGUCACUAGAGUGUGGUAGAGGAUAGUGGAAUUUCCGGUGUAGCAGUGAAAUGCGUAGAGAUCGGAAGGAACAUCUGUGGCGAAGGCGACCAUCUGGGCCAACACUGACGCUGAUGCACGAAAGCUAGGGGAGCAAACAGGAUUAGAGACCCCCGUAGUCCCUGUCUCUUAUAC
rnacentral:rRNA from 1 species